UACGAAGGGGGCGAGCGUUGUCCGGAAUUAUUGGGCGUAAAGAGCUCGUAGGCGGUCUGUCGCGUCUGCUGUGAAAACUCGGGGCUUAACCCCGGGCCUGCAGUGGGUACGGGCAGACUAGAGUGCGGUAGGGGAGACUGGAAUUCCUGGUGUAGCGGUGAAAUGCGCAGAUAUCAGGAGGAACACCGGUGGCGAAGGCGGGUCUCUGGGCCGUAACUGACGCUGAGGAGCGAAAGUGUGGGGAGCGAACAGG
rnacentral:rRNA from 1 species